UACGAACUGUGCGAACGUUAUUCGGAAUCACUGGGCUUACAGGGUGCGUAGGCGGCCCAACAAGUCAGGUGUGAAAGCCCUCGGCUCAACCGAGGAACUGCGCUUGAAACUGUUAGGCUCGAGUCAGCUAGAGGUACACGGAACUUCCAGUGGAGCGGUGAAAUGUGUUGAUAUUGGAAGGAACACCGGAGGCGAAAGCGGUGUACUGGGGCUGGUCUGACGCUGAGGCACGAAAGCCAGGGGAGCGAACGGG
rnacentral:rRNA from 1 species